rnacentral:rRNA from 1 species
AUUGAACGCUGGCGGUAGGCCUAACACAUGCAAGUCGAACGGUAACAGGAAGCAGCUUGCUGCUUCGCUGACGAGUGGCGGACGGGUGAGUAAUGUCUGGGAAACUGCCUGAUGGAGGGGGAUAACUACUGGAAACGGUAGCUAAUACCGCAUAACGUCGCAAGACCAAAGAGGGGGACCUUCGGGGGUCUUGCCAUCGGAUGUGCCCCGAUGGGAUUAGCCUAGUAGGUGGGGUAACGGCUCACCUAGGCGACGAUCCCCUAGCUGGUCUGAGAGGAUGACCACCCCCCACUGGAACUGAGACCCCGUCCAGACUCCCUACGGGAGGCAGCAGUGGGGAAUAUUGCACAAUGGGCGCAAGCCCUGAUGCAGCCAUGCCCGCGUGUAUGAAGAAGGCCUUCGGGUUGUAAAGUACUUUCAGCGGGGAGGAAGGGAGUAAAGUUAAUACCUUUGCUCAUUGACCUUACCCGCAGAACACGCACCCGCCAACUCCC